UCCCUGGGGUUGGAGCUCCCAGGAUCGAUUGAGUCUAGGGAUUUUCGUUCAUGUGCAUGAUUUUGACCGGAUCGUGGGCGACUGCUGGGCCCAUUUGGUCAGAGGCUGGACGGUGUGGGCUGGGGGUAUUGGUGUGGGGAGAGGAAGGGUAAUGUGUGGGGGCUCAGUUGCGAGUGACUAAACUGUUUUCACCGCAUCGGCCCACAUACAUGCCUGACACCCGAGGCUCUCAUUAGUCAUUAGCAGCGCGGUGGUUUUAUAUCGGUCUCACGUGUCUUUGAUCACUAGGUGAAGAGGAGGAAAUUGGGGUGGGGGCGCUGCUUCUGUCUCCUGUGUCGUUUACCACUAGGUGAAAAGAAGAAAAUUGGGGUGGGUGCUGCUGCUUCCGUCUCCUGCGCUGCUUGGUGUGUCUCGACGGUGCUUCGGUGGAGCGGUGGCGUGAGUGCGUUUGUUGGUUGUCGGCAGUCUACGCGUUGUCAGGCUGGCCGGCUGCAGCCUUUCUUCAUUCUGGAGGCUGCUUCUGGUGCAACCUACUCUUUGUCUGCUUUGUUCCUCGCAUGUCUUCCGCUGUUAUCAGAAGCACAACAGGUGAACAAGCGGCAAUAUGCGUCCUCCUCUCUACUCCUCUACAAUUCGUUGCUUCUUCCCCCGAUGAUUUCCUGCUGCACCAAUCUGCUCAUUGAGCUAUUUGCCCUCUUUUUCCUUCUAUAUGGUUUUGGUUAUUUUCUGAUUCCCUAGCUCGGUUAACUGGUAAAUUGUGGAGUGGCGAUCCACAGACAUGAAUUGAGGUGGUUCUUGGUGCAGCAAUUGGGCAACGUUGUAUAUUCUUUCUGAUUUUUAUGGUUUCUGCACUUCGUAUGGCAUGAUGGUCCAUAUAUCUUCUUCCUGGUUCAGUUUUUGAUUUGAUCUGGAAGGAUUUCAUUGGGUUCCUUGAUCCCUUUCUGCAGGUUAUGUGGACUCCAUCCGAAGUGGGAAUUUGAUUGCACUUUCAUUUCUGGCAUAGCUGGGAGGGUGCACCAGGACGCGCUGAGAGGUUGCGCCAGAGGUCAUUAAUCAAGCAAUAAGGAACUUAGGACAUUUCUAACGGAUGCUCCAAAAAUAGUGAAGUAUCCAGUGGAGUAAAAGCUUAGGGCAUGUACAAUGGUUGAUAAGAUGGUCUUAUCUCAAGUCUUGCAUGUAAUUUAGAGAUGACAAAAAAAUUGUUUUACAAAGGGUCACUUCUUAGCCUUAUCUUCAAUAACUAGCUGUUCAUAAAAACAUGGUGAGACAUAUUGUGUUAAGAGAUCACCUCUUAUUCUCUCUUAAAUAAAAGAAGACAAACCUUUUCUUA